GACCCCGGAAGUGCUUGCUGCGCAGGACCCCUUGAAAAAAAAUGAGGACCCGUCUCUUUUAGGUCACAAGAUUGCGCCAACCCUUACAUGGUCCUUAAAAAAAAAACCUUCUGACACUGCAGUAGUGAAAAUGAAGCGCACGAUGGGCGGAAGCUAGGAAGACAAACAUAAAGAUGAAGUGCUUAAUUCAAGGUCACACAAUGUCGGGGAUGGACCUCCAGAUUUCCUUACUGACCUGCAUUAUCUUGUGGAUACCUGAGUGAAUUCCACACCACCCAUUUUAUAGAUGAAACCACUGAGACAUGGAGCAACUGACUGAGUAGUCACUGCCCCACCCCUGCCUGGAGCCUCACACAUGACUCGUCUCCUCUCAGUGACCACAGGUUGGUUGAGGGGUUUAACAAGGCUAAGAAGGUGAGACGUGGUCUUGUAACACAGUGGUUAAGAAUGUGACUUUGGAGCCAGCCUGCUAGGGGCUGAAUUCUGACUCAGCCAUUUACUAACUGUGUGACCUUAGGUAAGUCAUUUACCUUCUCUGUCCCUCAGUUUCAUCUCGGUAAAGUAGGGAUAAUGAUAGCACCUAUUUUAUAGGGUUAUUGUGAGGAAUAAAUCCAAGUAAAAUGCUUAGAAUAGUAACUGAAACAUAGCACUCAUUAGGAAUGCUUUAAUUUUCAUUUAUUUGAAUAUUAAAG
rnacentral:antisense_RNA from 1 species